rnacentral:lncRNA from 1 species
AUCAUUUGUAGUUCGUGCAUGUGUUGUACUUGAGGACCAUAAAUACGAAUGUUAUUCUGCAUGAAGUUGAUUUAAAAGGCAUAGUAUUCCAUUUUGUUAAGGAUAAGAAAGUAAUGGUAACAUUGAUAAUAAAAUAAAGGAGAAAGAGAAGUGGUAGCAACACUCUCUCUUAUACUCACUUACUCUUUUAUUGGUUUAAAUUACAGUGGAUCUACACUUUGAAAAUAGAACUCAUACAAAGUGGUGCGACAUACAUUAAUUUUAUUCAAUGAUUGAAUAAAACUACGCAUUGCAAUUGUAUUCAAAGGAAACUCAACAUAUUACAUUGUUUAAGUAGUUAUAGAGAAGGUCUUCUAUCUGACGUAACAUGGGAAAUUAGCUACUCGCCUUAUCUACACAUAAACAAAUGAAUAUGUAAGAAAAUACAAAAACUAUGAUCUUCAAAUGAUGAUUCCCCGACUCUGGGAUGCUUCUGAUCGCUAGCAAUCUUCCUAAAUCACAAUUUUGCUCAUUUCUGAUCAUCACAGCGUGUCUUUCUAAUUAGUCAGGGCCUACCUAUAUAUAGAAAAGAGAAUUUCCAGUAUUUCUGGAAGAGUUUUUGCCCGACGCGCAUAGUAGUUAUGCCUUUGACUUUCCUUCUUGGUUGCUUGACAUGCAGCUCAUAGCAUGCUUUACACAUGAGGCAGUACCUUUCAAAUUUCUCCUCACUGAAAUAUCCGUGGUGACUACAUCCCAAGAGAUCACUUGAUAAUCUUGUAAAAAGCAUAGCAUGACCACACAAUUGUCUGGUUUGGGUGAUUUGAUAUAUUUUAUGGCCUUGUGUGCAUAAAUUAUCUUCCAUGCCGAUCCAUCAGUUUAUAUACAAAAACGCAACUAAAACUUAUGAAAAUUUUCUAGAAUUACUCAAAAUUGACUCCUAAACAAUGGAAAAUUUACGAUAUGGAUGACUGUCAUCAAAGCUCAACCAUAAUCCCUUUGAUGUGAAUUCAGACUCAAAAUCACACUAAUAAACAUAGAUGUGUGGAGUGAAGAAAAGUAGUGACCAAUAUCAAAGUAACCACAAGCAACAACAAUAACAAAACCUAGAUCUAAUCUAGAAAUCAAAGUGAAAAUCACAAAAACCACAAGCAAAAGAUAAAUAGAGAAGAGAAACAAACACACCAAGAAAUGAUUACCAGUUCAGUCCAACUUGACCUACUCUAGGAGAGAGAUUGAUCUCUCCAAUCCACUAUCAAUGAGUUCUUACAAAGAGAUACAAAAGAGUUACAAGAAAUUAGUUUCAACAAGCUCACAAAGAACAAGACCUAAUUUCUACCUAUUUUUUCCUAAUCUCACCAAUGAACAAGACACUUCAUGUUCACUCACCCAAGGUGUUUACAAAUGUUUUCUAAACCAAGAGAACCUAAUCAAAGACCCUUAACCUAAAGUUACCUCCUUUGAUAUCCCAAGUUUCUCUCUCUUGAAGCUCUUUUCUCAAAAAUGAAUUGAAAUGUUUAAAUAGUGCCUUGAUACUGUCAAAAUCGUGCCACGAUUGACAAAAUCGAGUCACAAUUCCUUGCGUACGACCCAAGGUACACAAAUAUUAUCCAAAAACUGUGUCACGAUUUCCAAAAUCGUGUCAUGAUUUGCCUUCAGUAGCAACAUCAUAUUUUGCCUCGUAAACCAAUAUGCCACGAUUAUAAAAUAGUGUCAUGAUUCUUCACAAUUUCAAAACUCCAAUUUUGAGUCACAUAGCAACAUUCUUCAACAAGGGAAAUUCAAGCACCACCUGCAAAACUAGCAGGGCGGAUGCUUGACACUUCAGGCCACCUCGUUGGCGAAUAGGAUUAGCUUUUUUCCCCUAUAAAUAACCAGUAUAUAUGUUGUAAUUAUCUAUUUUAUCUGUCAGCCUUUAUGUAUUUUUUUAUGCAUUUGACAGCGUACGUAGCUCAAAAAACCCAAAAAUAACCGUAUCGAACGCUCUAACGGAGAAAUUAAAAAACCUACAACUAAGUGAUAGAGUUCCUCCAUCAACAUCAAUCACUUGAUGAAAAGGGGAUUACAACUGAAGAAAGGAUACACUAUAUUCUGCAUUAACCACAUCAAAUUAGUUAAUUCAUAUUAUAUAUGUAUUCCAAGGAUUAGAGAUCACUAGAAUAUUACUCUAAACCUCAGGAUGCAGAUUAGCUAAUCCUUAUACCCAAUAUUUAUUCAGACUCCAUCACAUGUGGACAUCCUUAAGGAAAAUAGAAGCUAUCAAAUUGAUUUCAUUAUUCUGCAUAGGUGAUAAGGAAAAGAUAAUCUGCACUCCAAGGCUUAGAAACGAUUAUGUAACUAAUUUUUUUAGGGGUAAUUACGUAACUAUUGUUUUAAACCUCAGGAUGCAGAUUAUCCCAUCCUCACCCAAUAUAUUCUCACCGAACAAGUCCCUAUUUCACAUUGGUAUUAAGAAAAAAGUAAUCUGUAUCCCGAGGACUAGAUACAACACAAAUGUUGCUCUAAACCUCAGGAUGCAGAUUACC